rnacentral:ncRNA from 1 species
CAUUUAGUUGGGCACUCUAAGGUGACUGCCGGUGACAAACCGGAGGAAGGUGGGGAUGACGUCAAAUCAUCAUGCCCCUUAUGACCUGGGCUACACACGUGCUACAUUGGAUGGUACAAAGGGCUGCAAGACCGCGAGGUUUAGCCAAUCCCAUAAAACCAUUCUCAGUUCGGAUUGCAGGCUGCAACUCGCCUGCAUGAAGCCGGAAUCGCU